GGAGAGAUGGCUGAGCGGUUUAAAGCGGUAGACUGUAAAUCUAUUAAUUUAACAUUUUCGUAGGUUCAAAUCCUACUCUCUUCA
rnacentral:tRNA from 2 species